AUUGAACGCUGGCGGCAUGCCUUACACAUGCAAGUCGAACGGUAACAGGUCUUCGGAUGCUGACGAGUGGCGAACGGGUGAGUAAUACAUCGGAACGUGCCUAGUGGUGGGGGAUAACUACUCGAAAGAGUGGCUAAUACCGCAUGAGAUCUACGGAUGAAAGCAGGGAAUCGCAAGACCUUGUGCUACUAGAGCGGCCGAUGGCAGAUUAGGUAGUUGGUGGGAUAAAAGCUUACCAAGCCGACGAUCUGUAGCUGGUCUGAGAGGACGAUCAGCCACACUGGGACUGAGACACGGCCCAGACUCCUACGGGAGGCAGCAGUGGGGAAUUUUGGACAAUGGGCGAAAGCCUGAUCCAGCAAUGACGCGUGCAGGAUGAAGGCCUUCAGGUUGUAAACUGCUUUUGUACGGAACGAAAAGCCCCGGGUUAAUACCCUGGGGUCAUGACGGUACCGUAAGAAUAAGCACCGGCUAACUACGUGCCAGCCGCCGCCGUAA
rnacentral:rRNA from 1 species